rnacentral:rRNA from 1 species
GGAGGUAGUGACAAUAAAUCACAAUGCGGGACUAUUCGUCUUGCAAUUGGAUUGAGAACAAUGUACAACUCUUAUCGAUAAGCCAUUGGAGGGCAAGUCUGGUGCCAGCAGCCGCGGUAAUUCCAGCUCCAAUAGCGUAUAUUAACGUUGUUGCAGUUAAAAAGCUCGUAGUUGAAGUGUGGGUGGUGCCAUCUGUGAAGCUUCGGCUUCUAGGAUACUCACUACCCCCUUCCAGUAUCCAGUAGUGGGUAUUCAGUUACUUACUAUUGUGUGUUGGUCGUUUGCUGUGAGAAAAUUAGAGUGUUCAAAGCAGGCGUUUGCUUGAAUAGAUUAGCAUGGAAUAAUAAUUGAAGGCUUUCGUGUUCGAUUUGAUUGGUUUGUUCAUGGAAGCAAGGUUAAAAGGAACAGUUGGGGGUAUUCAUAUUCACUAGUUAGAGGUGAAAUUCUCGGAUUUAUGGAAGAUGAACAAGUGCGAAAGCA